AGCGAACGCUGGCGGCAGGCCUAACACAUGCAAGUCGAACGAACUCUUCGGAGUUAGUGGCGGACGGGUGAGUAACACGUGGGAACGUGCCUUUAGGUUCGGAAUAACUCCGGGAAACUUGUGCUAAUACCGAAUGUGCCCUUCGGGGGAAAGAUUUAUCGCCUUCAGAGCGGCCCGCGUCUGAUUAGCUAGUUGGUGAGGUAAAGGCUCACCAAGGCGACGAUCAGUAGCUGGUCUGAGAGGAUGAUCAGCCACAUUGGGACUGAGACACGGCCCAAACUCCUACGGGAGGCAGCAGUGGGGAAUCUUGCGCAAUGGGCGAAAGCCUGACGCAGCCAUGCCGCGUGAAUGAUGAAGGUCUUAGGAUUGUAAAAUUCUUUCACCGGGGACGGUAAUGACGGUACCCGGAGAAGAAGCCCCGGCUAACUUCGUGCCAGCCGCCGCGGUAA
rnacentral:rRNA from 1 species